rnacentral:rRNA from 1 species
CACGUAGGGUGCGAGCGUUGUCCGGAAUUAUUGGGCGUAAAGAGCUCGUAGGCGGUGUGUCGCGUCGGCCGUGAAAACCUGCAGCUUAACUGUGGGCUUGCGGUCGAUACGGGCAGACUAGAGUUCGGCAGGGGAGACUGGAAUUCCUGGUGUAGCGGUGAAAUGCGCAGAUAUCAGGAGGAACACCGGUGGCGAAGGCGGAUCUCUGGGCCAUUACUGACGCUGAGGAGCGAAAGCGUGGGGAGCGAACAGG